rnacentral:tRNA from 1 species
AAGAUUUUAUGUUAUAAAUAAAACUUUAAACCUUCAAAGUUUAAGAAAUAAAUUAUUUUUUAUAAAUCUUA